GGACUCGCCGAGAGAACAGCCUGUAUACUAAAAUUGGAAUGAUACAGAGAAGAUUAGCAAGGCCCCUGUGCAGGGAGGACACACAAAUUCAUAAAGAAAAAAGUGCUUGCU